rnacentral:rRNA from 1 species
CCUACGGGAGGCAGCAGUGGGGAAUAUUGGACAAUGGGGGCAACCCUGAUCCAGCCAUGCCGCGUGUGUGAAGAAGGCCCUCGGGUUGUAAAGCACUUUCAGUGAGGAAGAACGCCUGGUGGUUAAUACCCAUCAGGAAAGACAUCACUCACAGAAGAAGCACCGGCUAACUCCGUGCCAGCAGCCGCGGUAAUACGGAGGGUGCGAGCGUUAAUCGGAAUUACUGGGCGUAAAGCGCGCGUAGGUGGCUUGAUAAGCCGGUUGUGAAAGCCCCGGGCUCAACCUGGGAACGGCAUCCGGAACUGUCAAGCUAGAGGGCAGGAGAGGAAGGUAGAAUUCCCGGUUUAGGGGUGAAAUGCGUAGAGAUCGGGAGGAAUAACAGUGGCGAAGGCGGCCUUCUGGACUGACACUGACACUGAGGUGCGAAAGCGUGGGUAGCAAACAGGAUUAGAUACCCUGGUAGUC